rnacentral:lncRNA from 1 species
GUUUAUGCCUCAAUGACCCCCAAGGAGGCUCAUGAACUCUUAGGUGGGGAUUUUAAAAGAGGAUUGGACCUUAGAGGUGAUAGAGCUGUUAGGAAAUGGGGCCCGGUCCGGGGAGACAGGCCGCUGAAACAUGACCUAGAAGAGCGUAUCUCCCUCCUCAGAGCCUCCUUUCUCUCUUUGUGCUUCUGGGCCACCACCAUUGUGAACAGCUUUCCUCUUUUCAGGCUCCUGUACCAUGCUAUUUCUGUGUUUAAGACUGCUGAACAUGACCUGAAACUUCUGAAUUUUGCUACUGCAGGAUACAUGGCCAAGGAC